UUACGGUCAAAUCACGCUGAAACACCGGUUCUCGUACGAUCACCGAAGUUAAGCAGCGUAGAGCCAGGUCAGUACUUAGAUGGGGGACCGCUUAAAAACCUGGUACU
rnacentral:rRNA from 1 species